CAAGCAAGCUCGGAGAUUCAGCAGCCUUUGGAGAAAAGAUACGUGAAAACGCUGCUACAGUGAGCGCAUCGCGUUUAUCCAGCCUGCUGCUGGGUGUAACAGUAGAAAGGAGACGAGCAAAGUGCCACCCACAGCACUACGGGAUCAGAUGAAGUGUUGGCUGGAGAAAGAACACCUUCUGCCAGGAGCUGUGUGAACACGGACCGCGGGGAUUUCAUGCUUUGUGUGUAAAACAGACGGCAGGCAUAAGGUUAACCCAGAAAUCCUCACAUCCCAUGUGAACACCUGCUGACUUAAAGCUGGCAUUCAGGCCAUCCUAACCCUAAAACGGCAUCUCUGUAUUCAUAACGCAUGCGGUAUGGAAGGUUGCGUGUGCACAUUUGUGUUCAGUUUCAUCAUUCGGAGAUGGAAAAAUACAUUUUCUCCUAUUUGUAUGGAGCCGGGCACCCAGUCUGCUCCACUGAACACUUUACAUAAGAACAAUAAAAUACAGCGUCGUUCUCGAAACGGCAAAGUUCAUCGCUCAAUC